rnacentral:misc_RNA from 1 species
AGCAGCCGCGGUAAUUCCAGCUCCGAUAGCGUAUAUUAAAGUUGUUGUGGUUAAAAAGCUCGUAGUAGAACCUUGGGCCUGGCUGGCCGGUCCGCCUCACCGCGUGCACUGGUCCGGCCGGGCCUUUCCCUCUGUGGAACCGCAUGCCCUUCACUGGGUGUGCCGGGGAAACAGGACUUUUACUUUGAAAAAUUAGAGUGCUCCAGGCAGGCCUAUGCUCGAAUACAUUAGCAUGGAAUAAUAGAAUAGGACGUGUGGUUCUAUUUUGUUGGUUUCUAGGACCGCCGUAAUGAUUAAUAGGGACAGUCGGGGGCAUCAGUAUUCAAUUGUCAGAGGUGAAAUUCUUGGAUUUAUUGAAGACUAACUACUGCGAAAGCAUUUGCCAAGGAUGUUUUCAUUUAUCAGGAACGAAAGUUAGGGGAUCGAAGACGAUCAGAUACCGUCGUAGUCUUAACCAUAAACUAUGCCGACUAGGGAUCGGACGAUGUUAUUUUUUGACUCGUUCGGCACCUUACGGGAA